CAGGAAAUUUGGAAGUGGGACAGCUUACUCAGUGUAGAUGAUUCAUAUCUUUAUGUCCUACUUUGAAGUGGUUUACCACACCGUGGUCACAACUCCGGAAGUGUCAGAGGAUCAUCAGACAUCACUCCUGCCUAGCAAAGAAAUACAAACAUCCUUACCAUCAAGAAGGCUAGGCGGGGUAGUUACUAAAGGGAUUAUUUCAUCAGCUCCUGAAAUGCAAAACCUCCUGUGGCAAGAGAGGAAAGGCAGUCUUGUGACUGCGGCUCUGACCUGAAGGACAUGCUGUCUCCAAGUAUGAUUUCAUUCAGGUAGUGGGAGCAAGAGCUGCAGUAAAACACAA